GAUGAACGCUGGCGGCGUGCCUAAUACAUGCAAGUCGAGCGAACAGACGAGGAGCUUGCUCCUCUGACGUUAGCGGCGGACGGGUGAGUAACACGUGGAUAACCUACCUAUAAGACUGGGAUAACUUCGGGAAACCGGAGCUAAUACCGGAUAAUAUAUUGAACCGCAUGGUUCAAUAGUGAAAGACGGUUUUGCUGUCACUUAUAGAUGGAUCCGCGCCGCAUUAGCUAGUUGGUAAGGUAACGGCUUACCAAGGCAACGAUGCGUAGCCGACCUGAGAGGGUGAGCGGCCACACUGGAACUGAGACACGGUCCAGACUCCUACGGGAGGCAGCAGUAGGGAAUCUUCCGCAAUGGGCGAAAGCCUGACGGAGCAACGCCGCGUGAGUGAUGAAGGUCUUCGGAUCGUAAAACGCUGUUAUUAGGGAAGAACAAAUGUGUAAGUAACUAUGCACGUCUUGACGGUACCUAAUCAGAAAGCCACGGCUAACUACGUG
rnacentral:rRNA from 1 species